rnacentral:rRNA from 1 species
UAAGGAAUAUUAGAAAUGGACGAAAGUCUGAUCUAGCAACACCGCGUGGGUGAUGAAGGCCUUCGGGUCGUAAAGCCCUGUCAGGUGGGAAGAAUGUCCCGGGACUGAACAGGUUCCGGGAGUGACGGUACCACCAGAGGAAGCACCAGCUAACUCCGUGCCAGCAGCCGCGGUAAUACGGAGGGUGCAAGCGUUAUUCGGAAUUACUGGGCGUAAAGCGCGUGUAGGCGGUCCUGCAAGUCUGAUGUGAAAGCCCCGGGCUUAACCCGGGAAGUGCAUUGGAAACUGUGGGACUUGAGUACUGGAGAGGAUGGGAAUUCCCGGUGUAGAGGUGAAAUUCGUAGAGAUCGGGAGGAAUAUCAGUGGCGAAGGCGCCCAUCUGGACGGUAACUGACGCUGAGACGCGAAAGCGUGGGGAGCAAACA